CAAUGCCAGCUCCCACACACCCACCACAGGACACUGCUGGACCCUUCAGCCUGGUGGUGCCUUGGGGAAAACAUAUUUAAGAAGGAAAAAAGGAUGCGUAGCAGAGGAAAAUAAUACUGUGGACACCAAGCUCAGAGAAGUUGGAAAGAAGAUGCUCCAGGACCUGAAGCAGGUAUUUCCAUGUAGCCCAUGGAAAAGACCACAGCACAGCAGGUAAUUGUACCCAUCUGUUUCAUCAGAUAAGAGAAAUAAAUGGAAAGCAAGCCUGGAACAGAAGAGACGAUAUACAAGGCAACCCUCAAGAAGGUCCCACACAAACUUUCUCACUUGUCAGCAGCAGGGGGAUAGAAGUCAGCUGGACUGUAAGGCAUCAUGGUAACUGACUCUGUAAUGACCUUUUCCAUUGAUCAGACUGCUCUCCUUCUCCAUAGCACCAAAGGAACUACUGCUGCUCCCUGGACAGUACUGAGAAUCACCCAGGUCACUUUUUCUGUGCAUUUUUAUUUACUUCUUCUUUCUUCUCUUGGGAAUGACUGGGAUAAGAACAAAUACUGUGUUUUGACACUUCCACAACCUCAUACACACGGUCAGGUCUAACAAGAGGUGGGCCAAGGCACUCAAGCUAGGAACUAAUGGAAAUGUUUCACUCCCACAGUUUGCAGCUGGUAGACAGCAGGGGAAAAAAAAAAAAAAAGAAAGAAAAGGAAAAAGGAAAAUAAUAAAAAUGAUUGAAAGAUUCGAGAUAUUCCUAGUGGAUGCGUCUACAAAAAAAAGGGAGACCUAGUAUCUUCACACAUUUAUGUCCUCCUAUACUGCCUCUACUCCCUCAUCUGUUUGUGAGGAUCAAAACCUAAGAGAGGAAUUAGAAAAACUAACCCAUAUCAGAGAGCCUGAAUAAAACAGACUGAACUAUAUGUGAUAGAAUAAACAGCCCAGCUCUGCCUUUUGUUUUACUGUAAACCAUGUAUGCUGCCACCACCAAAAAUAAGUUACAUUAAUUUCUGCCUUACACCACAAGAUUCUGCAGUAUAAUGUCUUCUCUUUGGUUCUGUCCCCUUACUUCUUUUUCUAGAGGGUUCUUAUUCCCAGUCAAUACUGAAUACAAGAAUUAACUUAAUAGCAGGUUAAUUUGUAAAGUUCUUUGAAACUCAGUGUAAAGCAUUUAAUAAGGCUAUUGGGUUUUUCUCAUUUACCAAAAAAAAAAAAAAAAACCAAAAAAAACCCCAUAUUUCGGAAUUGAGCUUUAUAAUAUUACUCUUUGUGGUGGAUACACCACAACAUUGCUUUUACUGCUAUGACAAGAACAAUUCUUUCUUCUUUCUUCUUUAGUCUCCUUUCAAUUGUUUUUCUGGAAAUUAUACAUCUUGAAGAUACUUAUGAGCUAUUGCAGAAAAAGAGAACAAAACAAAAUAAAGCCUUUCCCAAGAUUGUA